UUGAAUGUUUGUUCAUUCGGCGUUGCAGGCUGAAGCGUAAAAGGCGAAAGAUGAGGCAGAGGUCCAAGUAGACUGGCCCAUUCCCCUACUGCUGUGAUUGUUUUUCUCCACCCACUCCAAGCCCUCUGAAGCCAGCGGUCCAUGAUUUGAAGAGCUGAACCAUGGUGGUCUGAAGCUGGCCUCGUUGGUGUGAAGGACAGAUUCUGCCUACCCAGCCCUCUACUCUGCCAAUGGCUCCUGGCCGUUGACUUCUGCUAGAAUCUCUCCUGUCAUUAAACUCUGGCCUUUUACCACCUGCACAGCUGUUGUAAAGACCAUAAUAAAUAUUUGGUUUACUAACUACAUUACAGUCUCUGUAAACAUUGAUUCAGGUUCAAAUCUUAUUUUAUUGAUCACACACA
ensembl:lncRNA